rnacentral:rRNA from 1 species
UACGGAGGGUGCAAGCGUUGUUCGGAAUUAUUGGGCGUAAAGGGCGCGUAGGCGGUUUGGCAAGUCAGAUGUGAAAGCCCGGGGCUCAACCCCGGAAGUGCAUCUGAAACUGCUAGACUUGAGUAUGGGAGAGGGAAGUGGAAUUCCUGGUGUAGAGGUGAAAUUCGUAGAUAUCAGGAGGAACACCGGUGGCGAAGGCGACUUCCUGGACCAAUACUGACGCUGAGGCGCGAAGGCGUGGGGAGCAAACAGG